rnacentral:rRNA from 1 species
GACGGGACCGCACAAGCGGUGGAGUGAUUGUGGUUUAAUUCGAUGCAACGACGAAAACCUUACCCACCUUUGACAUGUACGGAAUCCUUUAGAGAUAGAGGAGUGCUCGAAAGAGAGCCGUAACACAGGUGCUGCAUGGCUGUCGUCAGCUCGUGUCGUGAGAUGUUGGGUUAAGUCCCGCAACGAGCGCAACCCUUGUCAUUAGUUGCUACAUUCAGUUGGGCACUCUAAUGAGACUGCCGGUGACAAACCGGAGGAAGGUGGGGAUGACGUCAAGUCCUCAUGGCCCUUAUAGGUGGGGCUACACACGUCAUACAAUGGAUGGUACAAAGGGUCGCCAACCCGCGAGGGGGAGCCAAUCCCAUAAAGCCAUUCGUAGUCCGGAUCGCAGUCUGCAACUCGACUGCGUGAAGUCGGAAUCGCUAGUAAUCGUGGAUCAGAAUGUCACGGUGAAUACGUUCCCGGGUCUU